GCCAACCUAUCUAUCACUGCUAAUCUAUCGCUGCCAACCUACCUACCGCUGCCAACCUAUCUAUCGCUGCUAAUCUAUCACUGCUAAUCUAUCGCUGCUAAUCUAUCGCUGCUAAUCUACCGCUGCCAACCUACCUACCACUGCCAACCUAUCUAUCGCUGCUAAUCUAUCGCUGCUAAUCUACCGCUGCCAACCUACCUACCACUGCCAACCUACCUACCACUGCCAAUCUAUCUAUCGCUGCUAAUCUAUCGCUGCUAAUCUAUCGCUGCUAAUCUAUCGCUGCUAAUCUAUCGCUGCUAAUCUAUCGCUGCUAAUCUAUCGCUGCUAAUCUAUCGCUGCUAAUCUAUCGCUGCUAAUCUAUCGCUGCUAAUCUAUCGCUGCUAAUCUAUCGCUGCUAAUCUAUUGCUGCUAAUCUAUCACUGCCAACCUACCUACCGCUGCCAACUUGGUCCCAUUUUGUAAAAUGGGACCAAAUGGGACCAGAAUCACUAAUUUAUUAGUAAAACAUGAUCUGGGACUAGAUUUAUAAUAUAAACAGUGUAAAGUGACUAAUUUGUUAAACACUAUAUGAAAUCAGAACUAAGAUAUCUAAUAAUGAAACUGAGGAAAAAUUUAGUCCCAGUCUUAUGUAUGAUCACACAGUCAGUCUAAGUCAGAGAGAUCAGAGUAAAAGAAAUAUUGAAGAUUACACUCUGAAAGAGUGCAGAGUAAAAGAAUUGUUAGAGUGUUAAGAUAUAUAUAAUUAUAAAAUGAAAUUGCAAAAAGAUGUGAGAGAACUUUAUAAGCAUAUGUAAGUAUAUAAGCACACAGUAGAGGGUUGAUUGUGUAAAUUAACUAUUAAUAGAUGCUAAUCUAUCACAAUUACAAAUCUACAGCACAACUCUGAAAAUUAUUGAAUAAAAAAUAAUUAAAUAAAAAGAAAUAUAUAAACUAAUAUUGAAAAAGAAAAGAUCUGAUUAAUUAGUAGAAAUGAUAAAUUAUAUAAUAUAAUAAAUUAUUUGAAUCAUUUAGAUUAUCUGAAUAAGUAAAGUAAUUACAGUUAUUUUUAUUUUAAUAACUAUUUUAAUAAAAGCUAUCUGAGUUAUUCUUAUAUAUCUCAAGAUGUAUUUAAACACACUUAUUACUCUUAGAAUCAAGAAGUUUAUUUUCUUAAUCACAAUCAAUUUUAUUUUAUUUUCUUACUUCUCUAAAUACCUCUACUUAUAUUAGACUGAUUGAUGGGAUCAUGAAUUUCACAUUUGAUUUGAUUUGAUUUGAUUUCAGUUCAUUUCUUGGCAUUAUUUUAGUGAGAUUAGAAUCAGAAUGAAAGUAUAAAGUGACUAGAAUUAUUAAAACAUGAGUGAAAUGAGAUUAAUAAAUCUUGAUAUUUUAUAUAAAGUGACUGAUUAUCAAAAACAAGAAUAUAAUCUGAAACUGAUUAUGAUUUUGACUCAAGUUUGAUCCCAUUCUGAUGAUUAUAUAAUACAUCAAUCUGAUGAUAUAAUUGGUGGAGAUAUUACCUCUAUCUUACUUAGUACUCAAUGCUCUUCUAUCUACCACUGUCAAUCUAUCUAUCACUGCUAAUCUAUACUGCUGUCAAUCUAUCUAUUGCUGCUAAUCUAUUGCUGUCAAUCUAUCUACUGCUGUCAAUCUAUCUAUUGCUGUCAAUCUAUCUACCACUGCUAAUCUAUCACUGCUAAUCUAUCACUACUAAUUUAUCACUGCUAAUCUAUCACUGCUAAUCUAUCUACUGCUGUCAAUCUAUCUAUUACUGUCAAUCUAUCUACCACUGCUAAUCUAUUGCUGCUAAUCUAUCACUGCUAAUCUAUUGCUGCUAAUCUAUUGCUGUCAAUCUAUCUACUGCUGUCAAUCUAUCUAUUGCUGUCAAUCUAUCUACCACUGCUAAUCUAUCACUGCUAAUCUAUCACUGCUAAUCUAUUGCUGCUAAUCUAUCACUGUCAAUCUAUCUACUGCUGCC
rnacentral:sRNA from 2 species